UUGCUUCAGCAGCAAACAUAUACUAAAAUUGGAAUAAAAUGCAGAGGAAAUUAGCAUGACCCCUGCAUAAGGAUGAUGCACAGAUUUGCGAAGUGGUUCAUACUUUG
rnacentral:snRNA from 10 species